UACGGAGGGUGCAAACGUUGCUCGGAAUUAUUGGGCGUAAAGCGCACGUAGGCGGACUGUUAAGUCGGAUGUGAAAGCCCUCGGCUUAACUGAGGAAGUGCAUUCGAAACUAGCAGUCUUGAGUAUGGAAGAGGGUCGCGGAAUUCCCGGUGUAGAGGUGAAAUUCGUAGAUAUCGGGAGGAACACCAGUGGCGAAGGCGGCUACCUGGACUUCAACUGACACUGAGGCACGAAAGCGUGGGGAGCGAACAGG
rnacentral:rRNA from 1 species